CGGUGGGACACCCCUCCCCAACGAGGGGCGCUUAUCUGGAAGGGUAGCAUUU
rfam:Silicibacter sp. TM1040, complete genome.